rnacentral:rRNA from 1 species
ACGAACGCUGGCGGCAUGCCUAACACAUGCAAGUCGAACGAAGGCUUCGGCCUUAGUGGCGCACGGGUGCGUAACGCGUGGGAAUCUGCCCUUUGCUUCGGAAUAACAGUUAGAAAUGACUGCUAAUACCGGAUGAUGUCGCAAGACCAAAGAUUUAUCGGCAAAGGAUGAGCCCGCGUAGGAUUAGCUAGUUGGUGGGGUAAAGGCCUACCAAGGCGACGAUCCUUAGCUGGUCUGAGAGGAUGAUCAGCCACACUGGGACUGAGACACGGCCCAGACUCCUACGGGAGGCAGCAGUGGGGAAUAUUGGACAAUGGGCGAAAGCCUGAUCCAGCAAUGCCGCGUGAGUAAUGAAGGCCUUAGGGUUGUAAAGCUCUUUUACCCGGGAUGAUAAUGACAGUACCGGGAGAAUAAGCUCCGGCUAACUCCGUG